rnacentral:tRNA from 1 species
GCCUAGUUAGCUUAGUUGGUAGUGCGUCUGCCUUGUAAGCGCUAGGCCGCGGGUUCGAUUCCCGCACGGGACG